UGCAAAUAAAUAGGGAUGGUGGCAAGCUAUGACUAGAUAAUUUAAAAAAAAAAAUUGGGGUUUGUUUUCGUGGAAAUCGUCGCCAGCGAUCUUCAUAUUAGGAUCAAAAUGAGAAUCGUUGUUCCUCUUCAUAUGUGAAUCAAGGUUCUCCUCAAUGGCCACAUCAAGGUUUUUCCUCUGGUAAGUCCACCUCUUCCCAGGGCUCUAUCUUAGGGCCACCACCAGUUUCUGGUAACUCCUUUCAGAGUCGCAGCAUUCUUGCUGCCAGAUCUAUAGUCAACAUGGUCAUGUGGCCUCUUGUUGCCCUCAACGAAUCAACCAUGCAUUUCUUAGUAUAUCUUGCUCCACCACUCAUAGUAAUUUUCCUUCUUCUUCUUCCUGGUUGUUAGAUUUAGGGUCUAAUAAUCACGUAACUGCAGAUAUGAGCAAUCUUGCUCUUACUUCUCCCUUCUGUGGCUCUGAGCAACUCGUGGUUGGAAACGGUCAAGGAUAAGAUGACAGGGGAGAUCCGUUACAAAGGUUAGAGUAAUAACGAGUUAUAUGAGCUUCCCAACUCUCACUGUUCAAAUCCCUCCUCCCACACGGCCAUCUAUGCUCCUAUAGAUGAUUGGCAUCAUCGAUUGGGCCACCCAGCCAUCAAGAUAGUUCGUCAUAUUGUUGAUAAGUUUGCUUUACCUGUAUCUAGUACUACUUCUUCUGAUUGUGAUGCAUGUCAUUGUGCAAAAAGUAAUCGUUUACCUUUCUCUGUAUCUUCUAGUAUUAGUUCUUCUGCUUUUAAACUUUUACAUUGUGAUGUUUGGGGUCCUACUCCCUUAGUCUCUGUUGACAAUUUCAGAUACUAUGUCGUUGUCAUUGAUGACUAUAGCAAGUAUAUCAUAUUGCAUAAAUCUGAUGUUCUGUUUGUUUUCACUCGUUUUAAGCUUCUUGUUGAAAAUUAUUUCUCUUGUUCCAUAAAAAGUGUGCAAACCGGUGGUGGGGGGAGAAUUUGAAAAGUUGGAAUCCUUCCUCGCUUCAAAUGGAAUUUCUCGCUGUGUAUCUUGUGCACACACUUAGGCCCAGAAUGGGGCUGCCGAGCGUAAGCAUAGGCAUAUUGUCGAAACAGGUCUAGCCUUGCUCUUUCACUCUCACAAUCUAGCCACGUAUUGGACUUAUGCCUUCUCUGCUGCCAUCUAUCUGAUAAAUAGGAUGCCUAUCUCUGUUUUAGGUGAUCCCAAUCCUUUUCAGCAUCUGUUUCACACCAAGCCUGACUAUUUGUUUUUGAGAACUUUUGGUUGUCUUUGUUAUCCUUGGUUGCGCCCAUAUACCUUCAUCUCGACCUUGUGUGUUCCUUGGCUACUCUUUAACUCAUAAGGGAUACAAGUGUUUGGAUACUUCCUCUAAUCGCUUAUAUGUUUCUCGCCAUGUCUCCUUUGUUGAGUCUAUAUUUCCUUUUUCAAAUGUUCCCUCUUCAUUGUCCUCUGCUUCUUCUAUGGUUGAGUCUUGGUGCUCUGCUCCUCUAGGUGUUUAUCUCAAUCUUCCUCCUCUGGCCCAUCUUCUUCUUGUUAGGCCUCCCCUCAAAUAACUCCUACCUCUGCUCCUAUUACUGGUGAGCCCAUCACAGUGCUGCCUUGCUCAAAUGGGUCUCCUAUUCCAGUGUGUCCUUCCUCUCCGGUUGCUGUACUUGAGCCCCUUGUGGCAGUUCCUCAAGCACCUACUUAUCAUAUGCUCACCAGGUCUCGGACUGGUGCUCCCCGGCAUCCUCCAUCUCGACUGACUUAUACUACAACAAGGCAUCCACUUUCUGGUCCUAUUGAGCCUACUUGCUAUACACAGGCUGCUAAAUCACCAGAAUAGAGAGCUGCAAUGAGUGAAGAGUUUAAUGCUCUACUCAAAAAUAGUACUUGGUCUCUUGUUCCUCCCUCCCCCUCUCAAAAUGUGGUAGGCUGCAAGUGGGUGUUUACCAUUGAAUGAUAUAAGGCGAGAUUGGUUGCUAAAGGCUUCCACCAACGACCUGGAGUUGAUUUCACCGAGACCUUCAGUUCGGUGAUUAAACCCACAACCAUUCGGUUGGUUCUAUCUCUUGCUUUUACCAAUCAAUGGGUUGUUCGUCAAUUAGAUGUGCAAAAUACCUUUUUGCAUGGGGAUCUACUGGAAACUGUACAUAUGGUUCAGCCACCGGGCUUUGUUGAUAUGGUGCAUCCUGACUAUGUGUGUCUUCUCAAGAAAUCAUUAUAUGGUCUUAAGCAAGCACCUCGUGCUUGGAAUAUCAGGCUAAGUACCUCUCCUAUCUCAGGGAUUUGUUGCAUCCAAAACCGACUCAUCACUUUUUAUAUAUUGCAAGCAAGCUACUGUCAUCUACUUCCUUAUCUAUGUUGAUGACUUACUUGUCACUGGAAAUGACUCAAAGUUAAUUCAGAAUCUCCUUACAGUUCUUGCUGCUA